AUUGAACGCUGGCGGCAUGCCUUACACAUGCAAGUCGAACGGUAACAGGUCUUGGGAUGCUGACGAGUGGCGAACGGGUGAGUAAUACAUCGGAACGUGCCCGAUCGUGGGGGAUAACGAAGCGAAAGCUUUGCUAAUACCGCAUAAGAUCUACGGAUGAAAGCAGGGGACCGCAAGGCCUUGCGCGAACGGAGCGGCCGAUGGCAGAUUAGGUAGUUGGUGGGAUAAAAGCUUACCAAGCCGACGAUCUGUAGCUGGUCUGAGAGGACGACCAGCCACACUGGGACUGAGACACGGCCCAGACUCCUACGGGAGGCAGCAGUGGGGAAUUUUGGACAAUGGGCGAAAGCCUGAUCCAGCCAUGCCGCGUGCAGGAUGAAGGCCUUCGGGUUGUAAACUGCUUUUGUACGGAACGAAAAGACUCUUUCUAAUAAAGAGGGUCCAUGACGGUACCGUAAGAAUAAGCACCGGCUAACUACGUGCCAGCAGCCGCCGUAAGAC
rnacentral:rRNA from 1 species